CAAAUGCUACUGAAGUGCUGUGUGUGUCUCUGUGAGAGCCUUCAUAUAAAUAAAUUCAUGCAUCUAAAGAGUCCCUGGUCAGGCCGCAUGCUGAUAUUCAAUUUGGGGAAUGGUGAUGCCACCACAUGCAUCUGGGGGAGGCAGCAGGGAGGCGUAGGGACUUUGUGUGGCCUGCUCUAUCACAGCUCCUGGGAGAAUUACAGAUCUGAGCCCAGGGCAUCUCUGGGCUUUUGGAAAGGGUUCCUGCUUUUCCUGAGUUCCCAUGGCUGCCCUGCUGCCGGGGCUGACUACCUCCUGAGGUAACAGCAAGUCCCAUUUAGAAGGGGAAAGUAUUCGAAUGAUUGGCUGAUGCCAGCCUUGGCCUUGGGUGAGGCCUGUCCCGGCCUGUCCUGCUGCUGCUGUGCUGGGCCUCUCUUCUCCUGCCACCAGAGGUAGCUGUGCUGCUAGCACUGACACUCCCAGGGUAGCUCUGGGCCAUAGGCAGGCCCAGGCCCAGGCCUAGGGAUCAUAGCCCCAUAGGGUGCCACUGCUCCAUGGUCCCUGGUGGGCAGGAAGAGCACUGGGCCUUGCCCAUAGGAAAGGCCCAGCCAAGUCCCCUCUCGGGGGCUGCUGGCUUAGCUCCUAGAGCACAGAGCCCUCUGGCCCCACCACUGCCGGCCCAACCUGUCCAGUUCUGUACAGUAGCAUCAAGCUCUGAUUCCCUCAAACUCCCCUUGCUCCCUCCCACCUAUCCACCAAAAUAGUCUCUGCUUUAAAAUAUACAUUAUAUAUUAGACAUUUCAUCUUCAAUAUGAUUCUCUCAUAGCAUCAGGUAAAAUUAGUGACUCUAGAGGAAAGGCAGCCUUUGUGAGUACAGGCGGCACUCGGGGACCAACCUGAGCCUCCCCCUGGCAGGAGGGGAAGGGCAGGGGACAGAGAAGAGCCUUGGUUUCCUGCUCAGUUCUCCUUCUGGGCUAAGCCUCACCCCCCGCCCCUCUGCAAAGCCUGGUCUCAGGCUAACAAGGAGCCCACAAAGUCAUGGGUGGCUGCUCAUUUUGAGGAAGGGCUGGGCAUUUUCUGAGCCUCAGAGGGGCACGUGAGUCUGCCCUGGGGAGCUGGCCCCUAUGGAGACAGCAACCACCUCAUCACACGGCCAGAGGAAGGCCACCAAGCGGAGGCUGGUCAGAGAGGGCGCUGGGGCGUGAGCGAAGGGUGGGCAGGAAGGAGGCGCCUCCAGUUAUUGCAGUCUGGUGUCCUGGGAACACCAGGAAUUCCUGGAACCCUUGUGGGAGCUGGGAGAGGCAGGGCAGAGGCUUGGCUUUGUUUUCAGUGGACAUUUUAGCACAUUCUUUGUGGAAAAUCACCUGGGACCUUUCUCUUUUUUUGCAUAAAGUGUCUAACCAUUAAGGUAGGUCCAGUGUCUGAUAGUCUAAUGUAUAACAAAAAUGUCUGUUAUUUUUUAGAAAAUUGUGCUAAGGAUUUCUCCAAUUUCUGAUUUUUUUUUUUUUUUUUUUUUGGCAAGCCAUAUCUGAGAAGCCAUCUCUGCCCUUCCCCUGCCUGCAUCCCCCAGACCAUGAGCCGGGCACCGGCCAAUGCAUUCAGGGUGGGGACGCAGUUCCUGCCGUGGCUGUCCUUUGAGAGACCCACAUGUUUAUUUCAUGGAAGACGGAGUUGGUGACUUCAGGAAGCUCCUUGUGGAGAACAUGGUAGGCACCUUCAUAAAUCUGCAAUGAGGAGAGACACGGAAUCAGAGCUGCACCAUCAGAGGCAGGUGCAGGGAGCGGAGACCGUGGGCAGUGGGCAGGGGUCUGCAGCAUUCUCCGGACCCUCUCCCUAUGCCCGAGGACCUGGCCCUGACCUCCCAUUAUUAGGAGGCCAACACCUUUCUAUCAGAAGAUGGUUCAAAUGUGUUACAAUGUCCCAGUGUGUUCUCGAACUUCCUUUCUCAAAUGCAAACCUUCCCUCACUCCACAUCUCUCCCCAUCCCUGGACCCGUUUCUGUGUCUCUGAGUCAGGCAACCUUCUCAAAAGAGGGGGUUCCACUCCCGGCCUCACAUCCUGACCUCCACGGGGUCCUCAGCUCAUCCCAAGCCGACUUCCACUCCCGCCAACCCACGGUGGCUAGCCUGGCGAGGUCUCCAGGGACCUCCAUUGCUGUGGCAGGGGACACUGUGCUGGUCAUUCAUAAGCUGCUCACUGUCACCUUCUAGAAACACUUUCCUCUUGUGGUUCCAUGGCUUUAACUUUUGAUUUUCUU
rnacentral:lncRNA from 10 species